rnacentral:rRNA from 1 species
AUACGUAGGGAGCGAGCGUUGUCCGGAUUUACUGGGCGUAAAGGGUGCGUAGGCGGAUAAUCAAGUCAGAUGUGAAAGUCCAUGGCUUAACUGUGGGAGUGCAUUUGAGACUGAAGAUCUAGAGUGCAGGAGAGGGAAGCGGAAUUCCUAGUGUAGCGGUGAAAUGCGUAGAUAUUAGGAAGAACACCAGUGGCGAAGGCGGCUUUCUGGACUGUAACUGACGCUGAAGCACGAAAGCGUGGGGAGCAAACAGGAUUAGAUACCCUGGUAGUCCACGCCGUAAACGAUGAGUAUUAGGUGUAGGGGACGAUAGUCUUCUGUGCCGGAGCAAACGCAAUAAAUACUCCGCCUGGGGAGUACGGUCACAAGACUAAA